rnacentral:rRNA from 1 species
GACGAACGCUGGCGGCGUGCUUAACACAUGCCAGUCGUACGGUAAGGCCCUUUCGGGGGUACACGAGUGGCGCACGGGUGAGUAACACGUGAGUAACCUGCCCACAACUUUGGGAUAACGCUAGGAAACUGGUGCUAAUACUGGAUAUGUGCUCCUGCUGCAUGGUGGGGGUUGGAAAGCUCCGGCGGUUGUGGAUGGACUCGCGGCCUAUCAGCUUGUUGGUGGGGUAGUGGCCUACCAAGGCGGCGACGGGUAGCCGGCCUGAGAGGGUGACCGGCCACAUUGGGACUGAGAUACGGCCCAGACUCCUACGGGAGGCAGCAGUGGGGAAUAUUGCACAAUGGGCGCAAGCCUGAUGCAGCAACGCCGCGUGCGGGAUGACGGCCUUCGGGUUGUAAACCGCUUUCAGCAGGGACGAAGCUUUUUGUGACGGUACCUGCAGAAGAAGCACCGGCUAACUACGUG